rnacentral:rRNA from 1 species
AUUGAACGCUGGCGGCAUGCCUUACACAUGCAAGUCGAACGGCAGCACGGGAGCAAUCCUGGUGGCGAGUGGCGAACGGGUGAGUAAUAUAUCGGAACGUGCCCAGUCGUGGGGGAUAACGCAGCGAAAGCUGUGCUAAUACCGCAUACGAUCUACGGAUGAAAGCGGGGGAUCGCAAGACCUCGCGCGAUUGGAGCGGCCGAUAUCAGAUUAGCUAGUUGGUGGGGUAAAGGCCCACCAAGGCGACGAUCUGUAGCUGGUCUGAGAGGACGACCAGCCACACUGGAACUGAGACACGGUCCAGACUCCUACGGGAGGCAGCAGUGGGGAAUUUUGGACAAUGGGCGCAAGCCUGAUCCAGCCAUGCCGCGUGUCUGAAGAAGGCCUUCGGGUUGUAAAGGACUUUUGUCCGGGAGCAAAUGCUGGUGGCUAACAUCCACCGGAGCUGAGAGUACCGGAAGAAUAAGCACCGGCUAACUACGUGCCAGCCGCCGCCGUAACAC